AUGAACUGAGAUGAUGCUUUUUGUGGAUACCGCCCCAGUCUGAGAAGCAAUGACUGAAUGGUAUCUUCUCUGAUCUCCA